rnacentral:rRNA from 1 species
UACGUAGGGGGCUAGCGUUGUCCGGAAUCAUUGGGCGUAAAGAGCGUGUAGGCUGCUCGGUAAGUCCGCUGUAAAAGUCAAAGGCUCAACCUUUGAAUGUCAGUGGAUACUGCCGGGCUAGAGUACGGAAGAGGCAAGUGGAAUUCCUGGUGUAGCGGUGGAAUGCGCAGAUAUCAGGAGGAACACCGAUGGCGAAGGCAGGUCUCUGGGCCACUACUGACGCUGAGAAGCGAAAGCAUGGGGAGCGAACAGGAUAGAA